GGGCCCGCACAAGCGGUGGAGUAUGUGGUUUAAUUCGAUGCAACGCGAAGAACCUUACCAGGGUUUGACAUCCUGCGAAUUUCUGGGAAACCGGAAAGUGCCUUCGGGAGCGCAGUGACAGGUGGUGCAUGGCUGUCGUCAGCUCGUGUCGUGAGAUGUUGGGUUAAGUCCCGCAACGAGCGCAACCCACGUCUUUAGUUGCCAGCAUUUAGUUGGGCACUCUAGAGAGACCGCCGGUGAUAAACCGGAGGAAGGUGUGGAUGACGUCAAGUCAUCAUGCCCCUUACAUCCUGGGCUACACACGUACUACAAUGCUACGGACAAAGGGCAGCAAGUUCGCGAGGACAAG
rnacentral:rRNA from 1 species